rnacentral:lncRNA from 1 species
GAAAGCGAAAGCUAGCCCGCGCCGCGGACUUUGAGCCCGGGGCGGGGGGUGGCCUUGAGGAGGCGGGCUCGGGGGGCUGGGCGGCCAUGGGGGCGCUGUCAGCGUGCCCCACCCGGUCCGCGGGCCGCGCACGCCGCCGGAACUCCCUGGCGCCUCCUUAAAAAACGGCCCCCGCGCGACUCUUUCCCCCUUUUUUUUGUUACAUUGUAGGAGCGGAAAGAAUGUCGGAGCGGGCCGCGGAUGACGUCAGGGGGGAGCCGCGCCGCGCGGCGGCGGCGGCGGGCGGAGCAGCGGCCGCGGCCGCCCGGCAGCAGCAGCAGCAGCAGCAGCAGCAGCAGCCGCCGCCUCCGCAGCCCCAGCGGCAGCAGCACCCGCCACCGCCGCCACGGCGCACACGGCCGGAGGACGGCGGGCCCGGCGCCGCCUCCACCUCGGCCGCCGCAAUGGCGACGGUCGGGGAGCGCAGGCCUCUGCCCAGUCCUGAAGUGAUGCUGGGACAGUCGUGGAAUCUGUGGGUUGAGGCUUCCAAACUUCCUGGGAAGGACGGGACAGAAUUGGACGAAAGUUUCAAGGAGUUUGGGAAAAACCGCGAAGUCAUGGGGCUCUGUCGGGAAGACAUGCCAAUAUUUGGUUUCUGUCCAGCCCAUGAUGAUUUCUACUUGGUGGUGUGUAACGACUGUAAUCAGGUUGUCAAACCGCAGGCAUUUCAAUCACAUUAUGAAAGAAGACAUAGCUCAUCCAGCAAGCCGCCUUUGGCCGUUCCUCCCACUUCAGUAUUUUCCUUCUUCCCUUCUCUGUCCAAAAGCAAAGGAGGCAGUGCAAGUGGAAGCAACCGUUCUUCCAGUGGAGGUGUUCUUAGCGCAUCCUCAUCAAGUUCCAAGUUGUUGAAAUCACCCAAAGAGAAACUGCAGCUCAGGGGGAACACCAGGCCAAUGCAUCCCAUUCAGCAAAGUAGAGUUCCCCAUGGUAGAAUCAUGACACCCUCUGUGAAAGUGGAAAAGAUUCAUCCGAAAAUGGAUGGCACACUACUGAAAUCUGCGGUGGGGCCAACCUGUCCUGCUACUGUGAGUUCCUUAGUCAAGCCUGGCCUUAACUGCCCCUCAAUACCAAAGCCAACCUUGCCUUCACCUGGACAGAUUCUGAAUGGCAAAGGGCUUCCUGCACCGCCCACUCUGGAAAAGAAACCUGAAGACAAUUCCAAUAAUAGGAAAUUUUUAAAUAAGAGAUUAUCAGAAAGAGAGUUUGAUCCUGACAUCCACUGUGGGGUUAUUGAUCUCGACACCAAGAAGCCCUGCACCCGGUCUUUGACAUGCAAGACACAUUCCUUAACCCAGCGCAGGGCUGUCCAGGGUAGAAGAAAACGAUUUGAUGUGUUAUUAGCCGAGCAC